GAUGAACGCUGGCGGCGUGCCUAAUACAUGCAAGUCGAGCGAACAGACGAGGAGCUUGCUCCUCUGACGUUAGCGGCGGACGGGUGAGUAACACGUGGAUAACCUACCUAUAAGACUGGGAUAACUUCGGGAAACCGGAGCUAAUACCGGAUAAUAUAUUGAACCGCAUGGUUCAAUAGUGAAAGACGGUUUUGCUGUCACUUAUAGAUGGAUCCGCGCCGCAUUAGCUAGUUGGUAAGGUAACGGCUUACCAAGGCAACGAUGCGUAGCCGACCUGCGAGGGGGAUCGGCCACACUGGAACUGAGACACGGUCCAGACUCCUACGGGAGGCAGCAGUAGGGAAUCUGCCGCAAUGGGCGAAAGCCUGACGGAGCAACGCCGCGUGAGUGAUGAAGGUCUUCGGAUCGUAAAACUCUGUUAUUAGGGAAGAACAAAUGUGUAAGUACCUAUGCACGUCUUGACGGUACCUAAUCAGAAAGCCACGGCUAACUACGUG
rnacentral:rRNA from 1 species